rnacentral:lncRNA from 1 species
GGGCCUGACUUCUGGCAGUGGUGUAGCUACUACUUAAUAAAAUGACUGGUGACUUUAGCCUUGGUUAGAACUGGCUCUGGCUAUGCCGUACUGGGUGACUUUGUUCAGGUCAUUGAACUUCACUGACCUGUGUUUCUCCCGUAUAAAUGAAAACAAUAAUACCUUCCACAAAAAAUCUUGCUGAUAAUCGAAUCCGAGAAAAUAUAGUAUAUAACCAGCCAGUUACCUGGCACAAUUCGGACAAUUAACAAAUUUGAUAAAUAGCCUUUAUUUUAGUGUUAGUAUGUCACUAUCUUUCCUAAUCUUCAGCCACAGAAAAUUAAUUAAUUAAUUAAUGGAAUUUCUACAUAGUAUUAAUAAAAUUAAUAAUAUAUGCAUCUGUCCCAACACAGUGGUUAGCACCUGCUACGUGGUCAGAACUCCUUUCCUCCUCUUUAUUUCUCUGACAUCUUUUACUUCUCUCUAGCAAGGUUAUUUUUCUAUAGGUGCAUAAUAAAAAAUUCUAUCAUUUUGGUGGCCACUGUCCCCUUUGUUCUCUUUGGGCAGCCACAGGUGGUAGCAUAUUCAUGGGAAUUCUGUGAACUUAUUCAGUGUUCUUUUAUUGAGCAUUUAUUGAAAACUAAUUCGUGCCAAACAGCAUAAAUUCUGAUGUUUGUGUAAUUGGUUUUACCCUUAAGAAGCUCACUCUGUCAUGGGGGCGCAGAGGAGGUAGGAAGACCUGCCUGUGUGUUGUCUGUGACUCGGACAGUAGUGACCCAAGGAAGGGCACCCACUCUGUUGGGGUCUGUGGGGUUGUAAGGAAAUGCUGCUGUUGUUUUUUCUGUUCCUUCUCUUCCUCUUUUUAAAAUAUUUAUUAUUUUUUUUUAUUGAAGCAUAGUUAUUUUAUAGCAUAGUGUUAAUUUCUACUGUAUAGCAGUGAUUCAGUUUAAUAUAUAUAUAUGUGUGUAUAUAUAAAGUGUAUAUAUGUAUACAUACUUUUAAAAUAGUCCCUUCCGUUAUGGUUUAUCAUUAGAUUUUGAAUACAGUUGCCUGUGCUAUUGAGUAGGGCCUCAUAGCUUAUCCACUCUAAAGGUAAUAGUUUGCAUCUAACUCCAAACUCCCAGUCCAUUCCACCCUCCCCCUCCUCCUUGGUAACCACAAGUCUGUUCUCCAUGUCCAUGUGUCUGGUUCUGUUUUGCAGAUAGGUUCAUAUGUUCCAUAUUUUAGAUUCCUCUUAUAAGUGAUAUCAUAUGUUUUUUGACUUCUUUCUGAUUUACUUCAAUUUGUACAAUAAUCUCUAGUUGCAUCAUGUUGCUGCAAAUUAUGUUAUUCAUUUCUUUACGGCCGAGAAGUAUUCCAUUGUAUGUAUGUACCACCUCUUCUUUAACCAUCCUUCUGGCACUGGACAUUUAGGUUGCUUCCAGGUCUUGGCUAUCGUGAAUAGUGCUGCUAUGAACAUAAGGGUUCAUGUAUCUUUUUGAAUUAUAGUUUUGUCUGGAUAUGUGCUCAGGAGUGGGAUUUAUGGAUCACAUAGUAAUUCUGUUUUUAGUUUUCUGUUCUCUUCCUUUUACUCCUCUUCCUCUUUCAUCAUCAUCACCACCACAGUUUCAUAUAUCUGUUGACCAGUAAUCUGGUUUGUUUAUGCAUAUUAACUAAAUUAAUCUUCAUCAUGAUAUUAUGGGGUGUGGGCCUUCAUCUUACAAAUAGGGAGUCUGGAUCAUGAGAAGUGGGCUGUCCAAGACUCACCCAUUACUCACUAAUAGAGGUAGGUUUCAAAUUCACAUAAUCUGACUCAAGGACGCACAGACCAAACUACUGAGAUAUAUGGCUUUUUGGCAGAGACUGUGCUCAGUCUGAAUGUUGAGCCCUUAGCAGGUGGACAGCUCAAGGAGAACAGGAUAGGCAGGAGGAACACACUGGCAGACACUGCUUUACCCAAAUUGUAAUGUCAAAUGCUAUUCACGCAUUUGAAGUAAAUUAUGCACUCCCUCUAAUCUUAACUCAUUUGUUUAUUCACCUGAUAUGUACACAAGUACUUGCUCUGUGCAGGGGACUCUGAACCCAGGUUGGGCCACAGAAUCAAAGGGAGAGCAGUGAAAAAGCUCUGUCCCUGAACCAAGCAGCUCAGGUUUGCAAAGACCUUCUGAGACUCAGUUUUCUCACCUAUAAAAUAGAGAUAGUGAUAGUGCAUGCCUGACACAGGUUCUAAAGGGUCAAAGAGAUGACCUAAAUAAAAUACUUAGUGUUAUACCUGGUGCAUAGAGAGCAUUUAAUUAAUGCUGAAGUACAUGUGUGCAAUAUAUCACACCAUCUAAUUUUUUAAAAGCUAAUAAUCAUAGAUUUUUAAAAAUCCUCUAGAUUAAACCUAAAAAAUCACUGAUGGUCAAGGAUAUACAAGAGAGUCUUUUGAUUUGGCCAUCAAAGGAAUUUGCAAUUUUUUGUCACCUCUGAUUGUGGUAAGAAGUCUGGCUUAGUAUAAUACUUCCAGAAGCCCAGCAGCCACUACUUUGCAGAGGAAGUAGUUGGUAAGUGGGAACAGUGUCAAACAGGGGGUGGCAUUUUACCUGGUAAGGAAAGGUACCUAUAGCAGAGAAACAGGAAGCAGAAAGGAAGAAAAAUGUUAUGGAAAGGCUUGAGGUAUCUGGAUUAUUGCAAGCAGUUUAAAUGUUCAGAGAAUUGUAAAUGGCUAAAUAUCAGAGGAUUCCAAAUGGUUCCAGCACCAUUUCUGGGGGCAGUCAGAAAAGAGGAAGCUAGAAAAAUUGAUUGAGAUGGAGCAGGGCCUUGAAUGCCACGGGUAUUUGAUUGGCAUAUAGGCUCUCUGGUCCCACAGAUGGGACCAGAUGGGAUAUGGGUUCAGACAGAGAAGCUUGAGAGGCUGGUCAUUUCUGUUAUAUAGCACUUUAGAAAAAAAAUGAACAAAAUGCCAAACAUAAUAGCUUAAAAUAGCAUAAUUUCUUGACUUUUUACAAUUCAGUUGGUUAGUCCAGCACUUCUGCUUCAGGCUGUGACAGACAGGCUGCUGGGUGAGUGGAAGGGACAAAAUGACUUCAGUUACAUGGCUGGCAUUUGGCAUUGACCAGCAGCUGGGAGCUCAGAGUAUCAACCACAGCCUAAAUCUCCUCCUUGUGGAGAACCAUGGAGCAAUGAACUGUGGAGCCUUACAGAGUGACCACAUGGCUGCUUGGGCUUCAGCACAGUGUGGCAGCCUCAAGGUAGCGAUACUUCUUACUUGAUAACUAUCUAUCUGCACAGUGGAAGUUCUCAAGCCUUAAGAUUGAGUUCAACUGUCAGGAUGUCAGUUUCUCUACCUUCUAUUGUUUAAAGCAAAUCAUGCUUAAGCAAUCUAUGGUUAAUAUGUCUUAUAUUUAAAUCUUCCCAAGUUCAAGGAGACUAUCCAAGAGCAUGUACACUGAGAGACAUCUCUCAUUAAAGACCAUCCAAGUAGCAGCCCACAUUGACUAACUGCUCCAAACUCAAAACCAGUAAGCAAAUAGCAUUUCUGAAAUUAGAACCCAGGCUUCUCCCUUCUCUUUUGAAAAUGGCAUGAUACUUCCCCAUUAAGGCCUGGUGGGGAAAAUGCAUAACCUUCCUUCUCAUCACUAUAGGGCUUGAGUGAAAACACCUAUUACCCCAGCAGCUGCUGGAUAGUUACACACUUUAUCCUACGAGUCCAGGAAUGCAGCUAUAGUUAUCUUUGCAGAGAGCAACACUCUGACCUUCAUGGUUGGAUGAGGGAAUGAAAAGCCCCAAGAUAACAUAGGAAAUUACCAGGGACAUUGAAUCUGCUUUUGAUGCCAACUGGCAAAAAAUCAUUAAAAACAGUUACCAUCUUCUGGCCAAAGUAUGAGAGCUCUUCAAUUCGAGACUAAUGAACAUGGCACUAUUGAUCUUCUAAGACCGUAUAGGACUGAUCUGAAUCAAACCCAUAAAUUAUAUUUAUGAAGACAUUCAAAUAGCACACAAUGAUUACUUUUUCUCCUGGAAGCGAGGAGUUGCUGCAGAGGCAUCCGUUUUGCACAAGGUGAUAGAAGUACUUCUUCCACAGUUAUCUGACCAAGACAGGAAGACGGAUAGUCAUCGGCAAAAGGCACAAUCUCAUUCUGGUGACUGGAUAGCUCCUGCUGUCUCCCUUCUUGCCUGUUUCAUCUCUUUACAGAAGACAAUAUGUGAAAUUAUUCUUCAUUUGGCUUCCAUCUUUUUACUACUUUUUAAAUUUAGUGGUUUUUAAAUAAAUGCUCUUUCAAUAUGAUAUAGCAAACCAGAAAGUGUCCUUGGGAAAAUCUGAGACCUGGAAGUGAAGCUAUUGAGUAAAAAAGUCACAAAUAUUCAAAAAAGUAAAUGUUAGUAAAAUGUCUAUGACAGAAUAGAUGGUCCAUAGAAAGCCAGUCGGAUUCCCCUUAUUCUGGUUGUCAGACUGAGUUAAGUUGUUCAAGGUCAUUAUGAGAACAUUUGGCUUGGCACUACCUGGCACCCCGUCACCCUGCCUUUAGAGACCAAGAUCUCCUCCACAGCACAUUGCAGUCCUCACCUAGUAACCUGCCACCUUAAGAGGUUGAAAGCUAAGGAGAGGUGUGAGAAAAAGCAAGGAACUGGAUGUCAGAAUCCAGGGUUUCUGUUUAAAGUCUGACACUGAAUCACUCUGUGGCCUUGGACAAAAGUCUUAACAUCUCUGAGCCUCAGAUUUCCUGCGUGUAAAACGCUAUUUCAACUAAAUGAGUAUAAAUUCCUGUUCAUCUUGAAACUCUGACUGUAUUUCCCUGACUAGCUCUGAGGAGACCUGGGGUCUAUAGAAGCUGAAU